AAUUUGAAUGCACAUCGACAUCCUUUGAGGAGUUAGCUAGCACUACAUUUGGUGUUGAUACUGCACAAGAUACUGCUAGAGGAGAUACUGCUAGAGGAUCUGAUGAGCAUAUGGUGGAUCUGGACCACGUCCCGGGGACAAGAGAGAUACUGCUAGAGGAUCUGAUGAGCA